AGUUAACGUUGGCGGCGUGCCUAACACAUGCAAGUCGAACGCGUCCUAAGGGCAACUUUAGGAUGAGUGGCGAACGGGUGAGUAUCACGUGGGUAAUCUUCCUUCAAGUGGGGAAUAAGCUCUCGAAAGGGAGUCUAAUACCGCAUGACAUUCCGGGACACAAGUCCCGUAAUCAAAGCCGCAAGGCGCUUGAAGAUGAGCCUGCGUCCUAUUAGCUAGUUGGUGGGGUAACGGCCUACCAAGGCUCAGAUGGGUAGCCGGCCUGAGAGGGUGAACGGCCACACUGGGACUGAGACACGGUCCAGACUCCUACGGGAGGCAGCAGUGGGGAAUCUUGGGCAAUGGGGGGGACCCUGACCCAGCGACGCCGCGUGAGGGCGAAGGUUUUCGGAUCGUAAACCUCUGUUGUACGGGAAGAAGGAUGUGACGGUACCGUACGAGUAAGCCCCGGAAACUACGUG
rnacentral:rRNA from 1 species